rnacentral:precursor_RNA from 1 species
GCUGGAGCAAGAAGAUCUCAGGCUGUGACCCUCCAGAGGGAAGUACUUUCUGUUGUCUGAGAGAAAAGAAAGUGCUUCCCUUUGGACUGUUUCGGUUUGAGUAAAGCAGCGUUGAAGUU